rnacentral:misc_RNA from 1 species
AUUUGAUCUAUCUAUUAACUCCUUACUCUGUGUAAUUGCCCUCUCUAUAUCUACAGUUUGUCCCUUGAACAGGUUCCAGUUCUGGGCCCUCCAAGUAUAAAUGACCAUUGCCCCCCACACAGCAGCUACUAUCUUCUUCUGGAUUAACUUCUAAUGCUUCCUUCUAUUUCCUCCCUUACAUUUUUAAACCAGUCACACUCAAAUAACAGAUGCUGAGAUGUCUCCAUAUCAGCAGAUCCACAAAGA